rnacentral:rRNA from 1 species
CCUACGGGUGGCUGCAGUGGGGAAUAUUGGACAAUGGGGGCAACCCUGAUCCAGCAAUGCCGCGUGUGUGAAGAAGGCCUGAGGGUUGUAAAGCACUUUCGGCGGGGAGGAGGACUUUUUGGUUAAGAGCUAGAAAGUUGGACGUUACCCGCAUAAGAAGCACCGGCUAACUCCGUGCCAGCAGCCGCGGUAAUACGGAGGGUGCGAGCGUUAAUCGGAAUUACUGGGCGUAAAGGGUGCGUAGGUGGUUAGUUAAGUUAGCUGUGAAAUUCCUG